GAAGUGGGAGAAAAUGAUGAUGUUCUGGAGUACUCAACACACUCUACUCCCACAGCAAGAAGCCCAGUAUUUAGUAAUACUGAGAAGGCAGUGGUUCCUCCAAGAAGGGAUGGUAGAGAUACAAGAAAUGAAGUAAAGAAUAGGAUGGAAAACAUUGGAGCUCACCUUAGCAAUGCUGUUCUUGAAAAGAAAAAGAGAAUGGAGUCAUACAUUAAAGGUGCUGUUAAAGACUGUGACAAGCAUAUCAAACAACAUUGGAAAGUUCAUCAGGAUGAAGUACGGGAGUUUAAAAUUGAAUAUACUGAGCAGAUUAUAACUCUGUUUCAUCAGUGGGAUUCUGAUAUGAAGAAAGUUGGAGAUCUUGAAGAUAACCUAACUAGUGCCUUCUGUCAGCAACAGAAGACCUUUCAACAAAGUAGAUCACGGCAGAGCCACAGCCUGAAAGCCCUUAAGCAGGAAAAUGACAAGUUCUUAAAGAGUAUGGAGAACUUGGAAAAGGACAAGAGCAGUGUACUUUCUAGUAUACACAGUGAGUUUAAAAAGCAAAUUGUUUUCCUGCAAAGAAAAAUUACAGAUGGCUAAGUAUCAAUUUCUAAAAGCAUGGAAUACAAAAAGCACCAAGAUAAUUUGUUUUCCUGACGUUAAAUGUUUUUCUGAUGAGUUUUGAGAAAAUCUUGAACCUGAGUUGAUGUAAUUCAUAUUAUCUCAGACACAUGUCUUACCAAUUUGACUGUAUUUUAUAUUAUCUUCUGUCAUUAACUGUUUAAAGUGUGACACCUCUAUUCCUAUUGAGUUCUAAAUAAACAGUUGUUAACCUGU
rnacentral:lncRNA from 14 species